UGUAGAGGCGUAUAGGGAAGAAGGGAAGGAAGAGAAAGGGAGAAAAAGAGAGGGAAAAAAAAAAGCAUAAUAGGGUAUAGGAGAGGGGAGGGGGAGAGGCACGAAACCAUGGGCUUGUGCUUUGGUUGCUUCGAUGGGGGCAACAAGCGGAUGACCAAAGAGGAAGAAAGGUUGGCCUCGGAAGAAGCACGUGCAAGAGCUGCUGAAGCUGCCCAGAAAAAGUAUAUCUUCUUCUUCUUCUUCAUCAUCCAUGCAUCUUCUCAUCUUUCAAUCUAUGUCUUCUUUCCUGCUUAUUCCUGCAACUUCUGGUUAAUGUUAAUUGCUUGCGUCUCAUCAACAUACUCAUACGCAUGCAUGCUUGUUUUGUAAUAUUUGAUGAAAAAGAUCUUCGAUUAAAAUGAAUGUAUGGAACCUUCAUUGUCAUGAUGAUGUAUGGGUAUAUAUAUUCAUGUGGACUGAUUUUUAGGUGUUGAUUGUCAUUGCAGGCAAGAGCAACCGGGAGAGGCAAAGGAAGCGGCGGAAGCGGAAGUGGAAGAAGCGGCGGAAACGGAAAAGGAAGCUGAAAACUCCAACAAUGGCGAAGUAAAGGAUUAGAGAGGCCACUUGAUUUUUGGUGAAUUUUUUCAUCAAUAACUUAUCGCGCUUUUUCUAUUAUUAUAUCCUUUUAAUAUCUUGUUGGUCGUCGUUUGGCUAUCAAUAUUAUUAUGGCACUGAUAAAUAUAUGUUUUGGCUUUUCAUCCGUUGACGCAGUGGCAGAUGGGUUGAGGGAUAGGCCAACUGUUUAUUAAAUGUAAGGUGAAUCCUCUAUAUGAUGAAGUUUAGCUCUAGGUUUCCCUUUUUAAAACUUUUGUUUCUGUUGUAAACAAGAUUUCCAUAAACCAAGUUUAGUUUAAAUGAAACUCAUUCAUAGAGUAAAAAAAGCUGCAAUAUAACCAUUAAUUUAUAAGGUAUUAUCAAAUUUGCAUUGGAUAAAAUGGUAGCCAAAUUAAAGAUCUUUCAUGAAUUAUGUCUAGAGAAGCAUAUACGGUAUCAUCAAAAUGCUGCGUGUCUGCACUACAUGAAAUAAAGUUAACAAAAUCCAAACGAGGGCGUAACAAAAAGAUGUUUUUCUACUAUGUUUCAAGCUGAAUGAAUUAUACGUUAGCAGCAUAAAUUUAUGCCUUAUUUUCUGUGUAAAAUGAAAGUAUCUUCUUCCAAUUCAGAAUUUGGAAUUGACUUGUCUCGUUGGCUUUCCUUUUCUUAUUUUGCAGUAUUAAUAAGUAUAGGUCCAGACGAAUCCUCUGCACUGCCAACUUUCCUUGUUCCGGAGAUGAACAACCGGUCUUUACUACACAACUGUACCAUCGGUCAAAUUUGUUGUUUCCCAGAUCAGGAAAUAUUAUGUUUUCGUCAUGUAAAGGAAACAAGGUAGCUUGGUGAUUUUAUUCCAUUUGUUGGUAUUGAAAAAACUCCAUUUUCCUUCCGCAAAAAUUGAACGCAUCAACUACUUUAUGUUAUCUGCUAUUCUGUAUUUGCUUUUAUUUUGGGAAAGGGUGCUAAGAAGAACUUGAACUUGUUUCGUGAUUCUACAGUUGGUGAAAUACGUGCCAUAUAUGUCAUUAAUAUUAUUACUAGAUAGUUUUUCUUAAUGUUAUAGUUAUAGCAGUUACACAUCGUUUUCUUUUAUCAGUUUUUUCUGUUAUACAGAGUUUUAUAUAAGCUCUGUUUUCUUUUCUCUUUCUGAAAGACGCUUAUCUCAGAUUCAAUACAAUGAGAGUUCUUUCAAAACCUA
rnacentral:lncRNA from 1 species